GCAUUUAUAUCAGAGAAAAAAAACCAGAUAAUAGAUUUGGCACUUAGAAACUAUUGCAGAAAGCGGCACUUAUUCAUAGAAAAAUAUAGGCAUUGAUAAGAGAGCAGUCUAUUUUAUAAAUUAUC